rnacentral:lncRNA from 1 species
AAAACAAUACAGAAACCUUUUGUUUUAGAAUAGAUUUGCACGAAGUAACUUUAUAAUCUACAAUAACAAUGAACAAGAUUUAGGAACAUGAUAAACUUUCUUAAUUAAAGCUUUUUUGUUCCUUUCUGUAUUAUGAUUGCUCCCCAUUGCUUCGAAGAUGAAGAGUACAUGAGGUCUUCACAAUCCUGCACAGGUCAGGGCCCUGCUCGCCACUAAGCUUGAGCCACACUGAUCUUGGGCAGCUGCUUGAACAAACCGUGGCUAUUCCAUUGCUUUUUUCCCCAGAGCUACGGAUACAUUGUGUAAAAGCCUGCAAUUGACUUAGGCUUCUAAAAUAUCUUUGUUAUUACCUCUUGUAUAUUUAACACCCUCACUUGCUUCAGGUCUUUGCUCAAACAAUACCAACUUUUAUAGUUUCCCCAGUUUGACCUUUGGGAAAAGAUAGAACUAUUCUGUUGACAGUCUAAGUUCUUUUGCAACUGACAAAGGAGCCUUUGCGAAGGUUUCUGAGCUUUUGGAUUUUUACCUUUGCUUUUUCAAAGUCCAAGUCUUUGCCAAUGGUGGUGAGCAGGCGACACAGGCA